GAUGAACGCUGGCGGCGUGCCUAAUACAUGCAAGUAGAACGCUGAAGGAGGAGCUUGCUCUUCUGGAUGAGUUGCGAACGGGUGAGUAACGCGUAGGUAACCUGCCUGGUAGCGGGGGAUAACUAUUGGAAACGAUAGCUAAUACCGCAUGACAACAGUUAUUGCAUGAUAACUGUUUAAAAGGGGCAACUGCUCCACUACCAGAUGGACCUGCGUUGUAUUAGCUAGUUGGUGAGGUAACGGCUCACCAAGGCGACGAUACAUAGCCGACCUGAGAGGGUGAACGGCCACACUGGGACUGAGACACGGCCCAGACUCCUACGGGAGGCAGCAGUAGGGGAUCUUCGGACAUGGACGGAAGUCUGACCGAGCAACGCCGCGGGAGUGAAGAAGGUUUUCGGAUCGUAAAGCUCUGUUGUAAGAGAAGAACGAGUGUGAGAGUGGAAAGUUCACACUGUGACGGUAUCUUACCAGAAAGGGACGGCUAACUACGUG
rnacentral:rRNA from 1 species